GGGGGCGAAACGGUUUCGACGGGGAUAAGCGAAGCUUAAGGGGCAUGUCGAGGUUUCUACCUACUCGUUAAAUAGGUAGAAUUAAACAUAAUCGCAAAUGAUUAUGAUUACGCCCUUGCUGCUUAAUCGGCGGCAAGCGUCCUUCUAGCCUUGCCCGUGGGGCUAAAAAGGGCGUCGACUUAGCGGGAUAGUCUCCACCUCGUGCUUAUGGGGGUGGGGAUGAAACUAAAAAUAAGCUAGUUCCUUAAGAAUCCUGCCUGUGGGAGUUUUGAGGAGUGAAACUUAAUAUGCAGGCUAAGCAUGUAGAACCUUAUGUGGAGUAUUUCCGGACGCGGGUUCGACUCCCGCCGCCUCCACCA
rnacentral:tmRNA from 1 species